rnacentral:rRNA from 1 species
UGGGGAAUAUUGGACAAUGGGCGAAAGCCUGAUCCAGCCAUGCCGCGUGUGUGAAGAAGGUCUUCGGAUUGUAAAGCACUUUAAGUUGGGAGGAAGGGCAGUAAGCGAAUACCUUGCUGUUUUGACGUUACCGACAGAAUAAGCACCGGCUAACUCUGUGCCAGCAGCCGCGGUAAUACAGAGGGUGCAAGCGUUAAUCGGAAUUACUGGGCGUAAAGCGCGCGUAGGUGGUUCGUUAAGUUGAAUGUGAAAGCCCCGGGCUCAACCUGGGAACUGCAUCCAAAACUGGCGAGCUAGAGUAGGGCAGAGGGUGGUGGAAUUUCCUGUGUAGCGGUGAAAUGCGUAGAUAUAGGAAGGAACACCAGUGGCGAAGGCGACCACCUGGGCUCAUACUGACACUGAAAUACGAAAGCGUGGGGAGCAAACAGG